AAUUAGCCUUUUAAUUGGAGGAUGGAAUGAAUGGUCACACGAGUUAAAAUCUAUAUGUUGUAACAUGAAUUUUUAUCUCUAAUGAAAAUAUUAGAAUAGUUUUUUUAGACAAAAAGACCCUAUGAAGCUUUAUAAUCUCGCAAGUAAUUUCAUCUAGUCUGGAUUAUUUUUUUGGGGAAAAAUAUAAUUUUAUUAUUUUUAAAAUUUAACUAAUGAUUAUCCAAAUUUGAAAUAAGAACAAGCUCCUCUAGGGAUAACAGCAUAAUUUAAGCUGAGAGACCUUAUUAAAGC
rnacentral:rRNA from 1 species